rnacentral:rRNA from 1 species
AGAUACUAUCCCCUUGUAGUGUAGUUUAAUAGCUAUCUACAUAUUAACUUAAUAUAAAGUAUAAUAGUUUAUAUUUUAUAAUAUGACGUUAACAAUUUUGUUUAAUAAUUGAAAAUGUUAGUAUUAGUAAUAUUAGUAUAUGUGCUAAAGGAACUCGGCAAAAAACCACUCAACUGUUUAUCAAAAACAUAGCUAUAUGAAUUAAUAUAUAGUUAUUUCUGCUCAAUGAUUUAAAUAGCCGCAGUACUCUGACUGUGCAAAGGUAGCAUAAUCAGUUGGCUUUUAAUUAGAGUCUGGUAUGAACGAAAAUAUGGGUAGUAACUGUCUUAGCACAUUUUUUCGAACUUAUUAAACAAGUGCAAAUGCUUGUAAUUUAACAAUAGACGAGAAGACCCUAGAAACUUGGACAAGUUUUUGUUGGGGCGACAGAAUUACACUUAACUAAUCUUAUAAUACACGACGCGAUGUUGAAAGAAUAAGUUACUCUAGGGAUAACAGCAUAAUUUCAUUAGUUUGUGACCUCGAUGUUGGACUAGGUACUAUACCCUUAAGGCAAGGAUAUAUUAUGCUCUGUUCGAGCAAAAUUACCUACAUGAUCUGAGUUCAGACCG